UUGCUAUUAGGUGUAGAUAUCAUGCUCUUGAUAAAGACACAACUCCAAACUUUUGAAAUCUGUACGGUCGGAUACAAUUUCUAAUACCUCUCCUAUAUACUCUUCUUUCAGGAGGAAAUGAUUAGAGCUAGAUCUGAAGCCACGUCAAAAGCUCAGCAGCUUGGAGAGGUAUUAUUACUUGGUGUAUGAUUGGGCUGUAUGCAUCUUAUCAUGUGAAUUCACCAAACUGUAUUCUUCUUGAGAGACCAUAAUUUCUACUCCUUCCAUUUCAAUUUGUUUGUCUUACUUUCCAAUGCUAUAACUUAAUUGAAAGACGGAGACACCUUCUUCUUCAUUGUGAGGUGGCCUCAGAAUUAUGGAGCAUGUUUUUUUGUCUCUCUGGCAUCAAUUGGACCACACCCCUCACUGUUAAGGAUGCAUAUGAGAGUUGGAGUCUAUGGAAAGUUGACAAAGCCAUCAAGAAGAUCUGGAUUAUGAUACCUGCUUGUAUUUUUUGGUGUAUUUGGUUAGAGAGGAACAAGAGAUGUUUUGAUGGAGAGUCAACUGCUUUAGGCAUUUUGAAGACUAGGUGCACUGAAAAUUUGUUUAGUUGGACCAACUUGUAUCAUGCUGUUAAUGCAGAACAACUUCAGGAUUUUACUAACUCAUUAGCUCUGGCUUAGAUAGUUUGUAUAGUUAGCCAGAGAUUUUUUUGUAAGCUCAAAUGCCAUAUCUUGUAAAUUUUGCAUCUUCUUGAUGCUGUUAUUAAUACCACUUAUCUUAUCAAAAAAAAAAAAAGGUGUAGAUAUCCUUCUACUGUCAUGUGCUUCAUUGGUUGGAAACAAUUAUGUUAAUUGAUAUACUCAGAUUCAAUAAACACUAAUCACCCAUUUUAUAUUUCAUCUGGAUUCAAUAACCGUUUUUGUAUAAGCAGAGAAACCAUCAAAAGGUUGUCACGGAGGAUGAUGCUGGAAUUCAUGCAGAAAUGGUUCAAACACUGCUAAGGAAAACAGC
rnacentral:lncRNA from 1 species